rnacentral:rRNA from 1 species
CAGUAGCCACGGGAAUACGUAGGUGGCAAGCGUUGUCCGGAAUUAUUGGGCGUAAAGGGCUCGCAGGCGGUUUCUUAAGUCUGAUGUGAAAACCCCCGGCUCAACCGGGGAGGGUCAUUGGAAACUGGGAAACUUGAGUGCAGAAGAGGAGAGUGGAAUUCCACGUGUAGCGGUGAAAUGCGUAGAGAUGUGGAGGAACACCAGUGGCGAAGGCGACUCUCUGGUCUGUAACUGACGCUGAGGAGCGAAAGCGUGGGGAGCGAACAGGAUUAGAUACCCCGGUAGUCCCUGUCUCUUAUAC